rnacentral:rRNA from 1 species
AGUCGAGGGGUAGCAUGAAGUAGCAAUACUUCGAUGACGACCGGCGCACGGGUGAGUAACACGUAUGCAACCUACCUUCCACAGGGGAAUAGCCCGGAGAAAUCCGGAUUAAUACCCCAUAACACAGGGAUACCGCAUGGUAAUAUUUGUUAAAGAUUAAUCGGUAGAAGAUGGGCAUGCGUUCCAUUAGCCAGUUGGUGAGGUAACGGCUCACCAAAGCAACGAUGGAUAGGGGAACUGAGAGGUUUAUCCCCCACACUGGAACUGAGACACGGUCCAGACUCCUACGGGAGGCAGCAGUGAGGAAUAUUGGUCAAUGGACGAGAGUCUGAACCAGCCAAGUCGCGUGAAGGAUGACUGCCCUACGGGUUGUAAACUUCUUUUGUAUGGGAGUAAAAAGAUGGACGUGUCCAUUAUUGCAAGUACCAUACGAAUAAGCAUCGGCUAACUCCGUGCCAGCAGCCGCGGUAAUACGGAGGAUGCAAGCGUUAUCCGGAUUUAUUGGGUUUAAAGGGUGCGUAGGCGGGACAAUAAGUCAGCGGUGAAAGUUUGAGGCUCAACCUUAAAAUUGCCGUUGAAACUGUCGUUCUUGAGUAUAUUUGAAGUAGGCGGAAUUCGUAGUGUAGCGGUGAAAUGCAUAGAUAUUACGAAGAACUCCA